AGAAAGAAUGUGGUGAGAGAAUAUUAGAAGAAAUAAUGACUGAAAACUUCCAGAGUUUGGCACAAGACAUUAAACUUACAGAUUCAAGAAACCAAAGAAGCCAGAGACAUCCAAAGGGUUCCCCGUUCUCCUCCAUGGAUGUGCCCAGAUCCCUACAUCUGAAGAUGUGCUCAGGUCUGCUGAGAUCCCAGGGGGCUGACUCCAGAGGAGUUUUCCUGGAUGGCACGUGGAACUCACCCUGCUGUGGGCUCUAGUGCAUGCUUACCCUUUGGGUUCAUCUAGGGCACCAAGAAACUCAGUUUUGAAACAGCCAAGAUGGAUUUAAAAAAAAGAGAGAGAGCGCAUCCCUAACGGAGGGCCCAGAAUGCAAGGGACACCUGUGCAGUGGGCGGAUAAUCUAACUCCUGGAACCUUCUUGGCCUUGGGAAAGAACCAGCACCAUAGAUUCUCGUUCUUUGACUUCUUGGUUGACUCAGAUCCUUGAGCGUUCACAGCAUCUGACCUAGUGGGGACUGAGAGAUUCCAGUAGUUCCUCCUCUUCUCUAGGUGAUGGACUGUGCACAUGGCCACCAGGACCAGGAUUCACUGUGAGCUGGGCCCACUUUUGGCAGGCACAAAGCCAAACCGGGCAGCAUUUGUGCUGCAUCUGACACUCAAGCUAGAGCCGAAGUGGAGCUUCUUAGAAUUGUACGUUUCUUAGGUCCUGUGCUGUGCCCUCCUCAUCAGUUACUGGAGAAGCAGAUGGCUGUAAGCCCUUUGGGCCGUGUGUAGUAUGUCUGAGUAAGUGACAGUACGUUUCCUGAGCCGGGCCGUAAUACUACUACGGUGGUGAAUAUUCAAAAAGACAUCUGUCCGUCUUUCCUUCUGUGUUUCAAUUUUCCUAUGGCCCCCAAAGAGUGGGCAUUAUAGAAGCCGCUGUCUUCAGAAGAGGCCUAGGCCAGACGGCUCAUUUGGGUGACUGUCCAUGCCCAGAAGGUGUAGUCAGAGCCUCCCUCAGACCAGACCCCUGGAAGACUGUGGCUCUUUCUUAGAGUGUUCUGUCCCUGGGGUGUUCUUAGUGCUGCGGGCUCCGUUUUCAGCCUGGAAGAGGACCCCGAGGAAUCUGUUAGGUCUGGGCUAUCUCCAGCUUGUGCUGAUUUACACCCGGGGCUCCUGGGAGCCAGGGAAGCCAUGCCUGUGGGCCACUGCUGCAGCCAGAGCUGCUGAAAGAGGAGCCGAAGCCGCGGCCGGUAGCCCACCGAGGUGCUGAGAGGAGCUGCGCUCAAGUUUGACCUCUCAGAGCUCUUCUAAGGCGUCCAGUCCCCACUGGAGAAUAAGUCAAACAAAUGUUAAGGAAAGGAAAUCGAAUAUGUGUGCUGAACGUUGGAGUAACAUCUGAGCGUUUUAAAAGAGUGCCCAGUUGGGAAUUACAAUCGAGUGACACUUUUUUCUUCCCCACUGAGCAAAUUAAAAUGACAAGCUCAGAAUUUAUUUACCUAGCCAUUAAUGAAACGUCAAAUGUUCCCUGUCCCAAAGAGGGGGGAGUGUGCUGCCUGCUGGCACACCUUCCCACUGAGGUGUCCCCUCCUUACCGACUUGCAUCCCAGAUAAGGCAGGUGAGUCGGUUUCAUUAGAUUCAUUUUCCCUAAACGCUUAUUCUGUGCGGGGCAGUACUGGG